ACAAACCGACACAGCUUUGCGAUCUCGCCAGCAUGCAGAGUCUGAUGUCUUCCCUAUAGAUGAUUCCAGAGACUCUGUGAGGCCACUAUUACAAGGUGAGACGCUUUGCGUUGAUUGGUGCUGCUGGACCACACUGGAGGUGCGAGUCCGCCGUGUAAUGGUUUAUGCCAUUACAAAGGAGCUGGCCUCUGUACUCAACUGGACAGGGGAAAAAUACCAAGGACCAGACAAAGCAAAAAAGGGCAUUUAAAGAGACAGCGCUGUGCAGAUGCAUAUUUGAUGGCCUGGCGCAGCAGGUAGGGGCGAACUCUAUGUCUGAGUUGGUCUUUGCUCAAGCAGUCCAGAAAUGGCUCAGAUAUGCUCCAGAUCGUACGGGUGGCACGC